GUCAGUGCAGGCUCUUGUAGCGCUGGCCAUCCUCUUCCUCUUCUAGAAAAAAAAAGGUUGGAUCGGUCGAUCGAUGCGGCGCGGCGAUGUCGACGACGACGUCAGGCACCACCGCCGGAUUCCCCGCGCCGACGAGAUCGAUGCUGCCAGGUUCCCCAUGACAAUCUGUUACAGCGACGACGACGAGGAGAUCGAUCUGAAGUCGCCGUCGGAGAUCGUAGCCCUCCACGCCGCGUGCCGCGACCGCAUCACCGAGUACGACCCCAAGAAGAGAGCCCGCGUUCUCACCCGCUUCUGCGGCGUCAACCUCGCCGGCUUCGACCUCGACAGAGAGUCCAAGGUUGGCCUCGGGCCGCUGCUUGAGGAUGUAACGCCGCAGCUGUGGGAGCUCCGGGCGGGGACGUCGUACAAUGUCGUUUCCGUCAAGGAGGAUAUGUUAGCAUUGACAGGUCCACGUCGAGGAUUAGUAGCAUUUGAUAAUAUACAUUUUGAGUUCAACCUGAAGGUAAAGGGUGAUCCUGAUGAUGAAGACUUUAGCAAAGGCGUAAUUGAGUCCCGCACCCUUGACUCUGGACCCAUAACUAUGAUGCUACCUAGUUGGCUCAGUACAGUGGAAUUAGUAUUUGCACCUGUUAAACAUCCGGUGGCGGCUAGCCUCCAAAUCAACAUUCUGAACGGUCCGCCCUAUGCCCCUUUCGUUGGCAAAGUAUCUUCUGGGACUAGAAAUGCCGAGACCCAUAUUAUUCUAUAUGAUGGUAGGGCAAUGAGUUGCAGCGGGAUAUUAGUCGGAGAUGAUGGCUCCAUUCCCUUGAGUCGUAAUUUGGUGGUUAUCCCUAUACCUACAUGGGACGAUGAUGAAGAGUUUUUGGUCCAUGUUUGUAUUUUUGAUAAUGACGAGGAUGAAGGCACUCAUGUUACUCUACAGCACCCUGAUGAAGAGCAUGUUUGCACUCACGGUUCCUAUGAGCUAAAAGUGAAGGUUACAUGGACUGCCAUCCUCACAAGACCGAUGGGUGCCAAAUAUAACCCAAAGAGGAACCUCUCUUGGACCGAGCGUUAUGGUUCGCUGAAUUACAGUGGUUGAUGAUGGUGAUUGUUGACCCUUGUCUGUGACGUGGGAGGACAUGACCCUGUAGCCAGAACUUGCAGAAGACGCCCACUUCACUUUUUCAGGUUUGAUAUGGACAGUUCUCUUCAGAACUGCGAGCUUCGUCAUCAGAUCAGUUACCUUAAUCCCGCGCCAAGGUUUGUUUUGCGCCACAGAACCUGAAACGACAUCCCACUGGUUGAACAGCUCACUGUGCUCCUUGGGUACCGGACUAUCCAGUUCUUCGUCAAUGUUGUCAGUCACCCAUGUCCUCUAGAGCGCGAAGCGGAUUGCUUCGCAAAUCGUUACAGUCGGGAAAGAUAGGGGGCCGGAUUUCAGAACCUGAAGUCCCCUCUCACUGCGGUAUAGCUCUCCAAGUUUUCCCAAGCUGGCGAUGCAGUGGGUAAAAGCUGGUUUACCCACGUUUAUGUCGAAUCCACCUAUCUUGAAGUAGGAGCUAGUGAGGGGCAACUGGACGGUCCCAAGUCCAGGCCUGCUGGUAUUGUACGGGAACUGAUCUCCAGACGGCGGAAGUAUGUCCGUACCAAAUUCAGAGUAGCGAUACCACACACCUGUAGUGUAAAACAAACAAACAAACAACUCUUGUAAUAGCUUGACAAGAAUAUAAUAACGUGCUUAAGAAGUGUUUCCAUUUUCUUUUCUGUUUAUGCUCAUAGAUUAAUGGGUAAUUUGGUAGCCGGAACCGAGCAGUGUUUGCAUUUGUUGCAAAAGUUAUCUUUACAUACAAUGUUGAUGUUGUGGCUGGAUAUCAAAAUACUAUGGCAUUGAUGAUUGUCAUGCCAUGUAUUGUAAACUCUGAAUCCAUCACUCGUACAUCAAUUCAACAUGAUGUCUAGGAAUUCAUGUUUCUCAUCUUUCAGGAAAUUUAUUCUCAAAUCGUUCUAUUUUUCCUAUUGUGGGGGCUCAACGU